CCUGAACGCAUCCGCUCUCAUCUGGUCUCAGAAGCAAAGCAGG
rnacentral:rRNA from 1 species